rnacentral:lncRNA from 1 species
AUCGAGCCUUCACAGGACCAAGGCCUCUCCUCCCAUUGAUGCCCGACUAGGCCAUCCUCUGCUCCAUAUGCAGCUGAAGCUGGCUUUUUUCCUUAAUCCUGGGCUCACUUCCUGUCAGCUGGUUGCCUGCUCUGCCUCUUGGUUACUCUUAUUUAAUCAUGUUUACAGUAUUCAAGCAGAAAGGUGUGAUCAAAUAACCUGAAACAUGCCUACAUCUUGAAGUAUUUUGCUUGUUCCAUUCCAGACUUUACAUUAAAGUCUGAAUGAAUCUGGUUUCAUUCUCUUUGCCUUCCUUCCUUCCUGCCUUCCUUUUGUUUUUUGUAUGGAUGUGAUCUAUACCUGUGUACUUUCCCAUGUAUGUGCAUGUGUGCAUGGGGUAUGCCUGCACACAGUUCUCAAAAGAAAAAAAAAACCAAAACCCCCAAAAAACAAACAAACAAAAAAACCCCACCAAUGAACCAGAAAUACUUUGCCAUAUUAGGAAGCAAGGAAGCUCUUGAGAGCUACUUCACAUAAACCAUAUCUCAAUAAACCAGUUUUAAAAAGAACUGAGUCACAGUGUUGAAAUAUUUGCAUUUUUACUUGAAAUGUGUAAAAUGUUCUGAAACUCCUGAAUUCAUGACGAUUAAUAACAAGAUCAUAGCCUAGGACAAAAAUGUGGCUUAGUGACAAACUGAGUUGUGCAUAUGGCCGAUGUGAAGGUAGUUCCCAACAUGAGCUGUAGGACCAGCUACACCAGCCAUUUCUUAUCCCUAGGCUCAGUGGGGGAAGGCACAGACACUUGAGACCCUGGAGUCUCUUCUGGAGACGUGUGUGGACUCCCAAGCCUUUGGAGUUGCCUGUGAGAGUCACUGUUCUGUGGGCAGGAAGAAUGAUGGUCUUAGAGGAAAAACUAGCAAAUUAGAGUUAUUCAGACAGACUUGAGUUAUCAGCAGACAUUUUCUAAAAAUUUAUUCUCACCAAGAAUCAAAAGAUCUUACUUAAAAUUUGGACUUUAAAUCUUUAAAGAGAUUUUAAAUCUUUAUAAAGUUAUUUUUAAUUCACUUUUUAAAUUAUUGUUUUCCAUGUGUGAGUAUUUUGCCUCCAUGUCUGUCUGUGUACAGUGUCAGUGCCUGAUGUCAGUGGAGGCCAGAGGAGGUGUUGAAUUCCCUUGGAUUUGGAGUUACAGAAAUGGCUGUGAGCUGCUCUGUGGGUGUUGGCCUUCAAACCUGGGCCUCUAGAAGAGCAGCCAGUAGUCUUAAUCAGUGAGCCAACUCUCCAGCCCUUCACUUUUUAAAAAAAAAAGAUGGGGUAAUAACAUAUAUCUGUAAUUUGAGCACUCAGGAGACUAAGGAAAUUCAGAGUUUAAGGCCAUUCUGGACUGCACAGCGAGUUUGAGGACAGCCUGGGUCACAUAGUGUUAUCGGGAAAACAUAACGGCCUAUCUACAUCAAAACACUGAUGUGGACCAUGGAACAGAAUGGGCAGUCUAGAAAUGAAGAGCUGCACAGCCUCAGCCACCCGAUCCUUAACAAAAGCGAAAGGGACAGCCUCUUAGGAAAACUGAAAGACCAUAAAGAACGAGAGGGUGUGCUGGAGAGAGGGCUCCACUGUGAGCGCUUGCGGCACGAGCAUGACGUGACGACCUGGGGUUCAGAUCCCAGCAUCCCAUGCAGGUCUGGUGGGGUAGCAUGCACCUCUAACCCCAGAGCUCAGGAAGCAGGGGUGUGGAUCUCUGGGGCUUCCCACUCAACUAGUCUUAACAGGUAAGCUGCAGGCUCCAGGAGAGACCCUGUCUCAAAAGUGAAAGCGGAUAUUGAAUAAAAGCACCCAUCUCUGGGAAAGGCUGACUCUCCCCCUGGUAGCCACCAGUGGCCUGGGGUUUCUUGUCUAGGGUGAGAUCCCAUGAAUAUUUUCCACUUCCACAUUAAUAUGUCUGUUGAUACUGCCAUUGUUUCGGGGAAAGAUUAAAACAUCUAAUGUUCCAACAACUUAAAGAGGAGAACAGGAGAGGACAGGAUCCAGUGCCAGCCUCUGUCCUCCCUGUGUAACCUGGGGACACACAGUGCCAGCCUCUGUCCUCCCUGUGUAACCUGGGGACACACAGUCCCAGCCUCUGUCCUCCCUGUGUAACCUGGGGACACACAGUGCCAGCCUCUGUCCUCCCUGUGUAACCUGGGGACACAGUGUUAACCUCUGUCCUCCCUGUGUAACCUGGGGACACACAGUGUUGACCUCUGUCCUCCCUGUGUAACUUGGGGACACAGUGUUAACCUCUGUCCUCCCUGUGUAACCUGGGGACACACAUUGUUGACCUCUGUCCUCCCUGUAUAACCUGGGGACACAGUGUUAACCUCUGUCCUCCAUGUGUGUAACUUGGGGACAGACAUUGUUAACCUCUGUCCUCCAUGUGUGUAACCGGGGGACAGACAGUAUCACCCUCUGUCCUCCCUGUGUGUAACCUGGGGAUAGACAGGUUUUGAAGAAACUCUUGGUUCUUAGUAGGAAUGGCCUUUAGAGACCAGCCUUGACAAGUGCUUCUGAAGCCAGCUCAUUUUUCCCCCUGGCCUUUUCAGUGAAUGAAACAAAGGUAUAUGCUCAUUACACCUCCUUACACUAAGCACAGACUGGAUACUUGGUGCUGCACUUAGCCACUCUAACUGUAACUCCUCUCCCCUGGUAGUGCCAGCAUUUGCCUUCUCUUCCACACUAACGCUUAGCGCUGCCCGCCUUCCUCCUCUCUGAUCUCCACAGGGCUGGUCCUCGGUGAGCAGGUGGAUCUUUGUUUUAACACUGCUUUCUGUUUUUAGGUUUUACUCUUUUAACUUUUCUCUGUGAUUGCAUAGACUGUGUAGUUCCAAGGGGAAGUCCAUAAAACAAGGUUACUCAGUUCAUGAAUAUACCCUUCUACCUCGUUCUUCUCCCUUUUUUGUUAUGUUCACAGAUGAGGGCUGAGGAAACACCACAUUCCCCCUGACCCCCACUUGUCUGUCUGUCUGUCUCUCUCUCUCACUUUGGGGUAGCAGUAAUGGAUGGCACACUUUUCUCUGCCUUUGUUUGCAUUAUGUGAUUAAUCUAUAGCAAUCUGUAUAAAGAACUGUGAGCCAGCGCUUCCUUAUGUGUGGUGUCUUGUUGGGAGGAUGUACUGCAGUCACGACAGCCUCUCUGUGGCCACAUGCUCAGCUUGCUGGCAGUGGCUUUUAAGGUAAUUCAUAGCCUAAUCAUAAAUUAGGAAUUACAUACAUGCAUAUACAUAUUACAAAUUUUGCCUUUGUUUUUAAUGUGUUUCUGUUUUGAGUGGCACUAUAUAUUAGUUGCCUAUUUAGGUUUCUCUUUUUCCAGAAAGGAGAAGAAUUUCUUAGAGGAAUCCCUUCUGCUAACCUGUUGCUGUUGUAUAAUAAAUUAUUUAACUCAUAAAACUAAUUUAAACAUAAUUAAAACCAUGUGCCACAGCAGAAUGAGCAGUCAUGUCUCCUGGCCAGACAUGGUUAGCUUGCCCCAGACAUCAGUCAGUAUGUUGCCAUGUUGGUGCUAACAAGAGAAGAAGCUCCUGGAGGCCUGGAAUUCCUGUGUCAUCAGAGCCUGACAGUUUGAAUCUUGUAGCAGACAGAGACAGAUCUGGGUCAGUUACCUUACUACUGUAAUGUGAAGUC